rnacentral:lncRNA from 1 species
GCUAAUAGUAGUAGUCAGGAUUAGUACUUAGCACAGUAGUACAUUUUAGUAAGGGUAGUUGUGUCAUUUCAGUACUAGAAGUUAGUUAUAGUUGAGGUUUGCCUAUAAAUACUUGAUAAGCUUUGUAUUUCCAGUCAUGUUGAAUAUGAAUAUGAAAAUGGAACUUGUUCCACAAUUCUGUCGCUCUUCUCUCUAGGGUUUCUCUCUCUCUAGAAAUCUAUCUUGUUCUUCAAAUUUCUCUUCUCAUCUAACUCUGAUCUAUCUGAACUCUAUUUCUCACCUCCAUUUCUGCCUAUUUCUUCUCUAAAUCUCUAUUAUCAAGCUAUUAUCUUACUUAUAAACUCAGAAAACACCAAAUAUAGUAACAAAGCUAGGUCAGAACUCAUUAGUUCCUGACAAAUUGGUAUCAGAGCUGUACAAAUCAAUCAACCACUGCUUCAAUCAUGUUGUGCACAUCAAUCCUAGCCGAGCGAGACUAGAAGUGUAGUAAUCGCAGUAGCAAGUCAGAAACUUUGUUCUCAACAGUUCAGGUUCUUUGUUUUUAUGUCACUCUCUUAGAUCUGUGCAUUUCCGUGUUAGUUUGUGUUGAUUCACUGUCGUUUAGAAGUGAUUAGUAGUUACUUGUACUUGUUGUCGAAGAUAAUCACAAAAAGAAGGAAGUUACAUCUGAGUUGGUAAAUUGGAGAUAGUACUACUCUGUUAUGUCGAAUUGCCGUUACUGUGACUUGAACUGGACUGAAGAGGUGAUUCAUAUCUGUGUUGUUGGCACUAAGAACAUAAAUAGAGGAGAAUAUUAGUCUUGGUGUGAUUUUCAGAAGUCACUCUUGUGUGUAGAGAAUCUAUUUGUGUAAGUGUGCUUAUAAGAGAAAUUGUGUUUGAUAGUUUUGCUGUUGGUGUGUUGAUCUGCAACACUAGUGGAGAUUUGUGUAGUAGUGGAGGUAAUGCUGGUGAAUGGAAUAAGAAGUAAAGGUGUAGCAGUGAAGAAAAGUAAUCACUGGAGGAGUGCACAUCAGGUGUUUGAUUUCUGGUCUCAACUAGUUCAAAGUUGUUUGUUGAAGUUUGAUAGUUUCCGGCUCUCAUUUAGAUAAAUUUAGCAGUUCCGAUUAAUUUCAUUGAGAAAAAUCACAAACAUACUAGAUCUAUCAAGUUUUCUUACAUUCCAGAACUGUAGCACUCUGUUUCUUGUAGUUGAUCAGAGUUGAACUGGUUGUGAGUUGAUAUUCUUGAAACUAGUGGAAAUUCUAGAACUGAGUGGCGAAUUGAAUAGUGGCCUCUGUGUGUUUGUGUUGUACUGGAUUUGGUGGAGUAAUUUGCUGUGUAGUGAAGUACGAGAAGUUUUAGUUGUCCUGUAAACAACUUGUCUGAUCAAGUGACUGUGAGGUGAUCAGUUUGAUUGUGGUUGUACUAAGAAGUUACUACUACAAACAAGUCGUUAGCUAAUUGGAGUAAUGGAAAUAGGAAGUGACAGGGCUUUUAAUGAACUCUUGCAAGAAGUUCAACAGCAAUUUCUCUGGUACAGAGAACAAUCCAGUAGGAAGUUUCAGGAAUUGGAGGAUUUAGUUGCUUUGGCUGCUCAAAAGAUGGAGUUAUUGAAGAAGAGGGAGGCUCAGAAGAGUAGAAGACCUAGAUUGCCAAAUUCUUUCGCAUCCAAACAGGAACCAUUGGAUUCUCAUUUCACUCAAUUUGAGGAGUAUACUGAGCAAUUAAGGAAACCAUACCACUGUUUAUGAUAACUCGGGAAGAAGAGAUGUCUUCUCCAGAAAAUUCAGAACCAAGUUCAGAGGAAAAGUCUGAAAUAAUUUCUUCAAUCUCAGAAUAUCAGAUUGGGGAUUCAGUGCAUCAUCUUGAGUUAAGACCUCCCAAGUUCGAAGGUGCCAGAGUCUUCGAGUCAUCAUAUGAUUUUGAGCACCUUGUGGCUGUUGAGCGUAUCUAUAAAUGAUGACCCUAUCUAUGAUGAAGAUCCGAUGGAGGGGGAGGCGUGCUGGCCUGAGCAUGAACUCAUUUCAGGAAUCUUACGAGGAGAUGACUUACACUCAUCUUGUUUAUCACAGUCUGAUUUUUGCACAAGCGAAAGAUUAGAGGUGAGAAACAAACCAAAUGAGGUAUUUGAAGAUGGUGACAUACCAAAGCUUGGUUAUUACAAAGCUGAAGAGAGACAAGAUGAUGCUGAAGAAGUGACUUCAGUUACUUUUACCAAUCUAAUGGACUUGAUGGAGGAUGCCCCAUGUAGUGUUAGUCCAACUACUGGAAAUUUUCAUGGCAAGGGUGUGCUUAUUUUUGACCCGGGUGGUUUUGUUCAAAACAUCAAUUUAACAGGUAUUCUUGAAGGUCAAAGAUAUUUUGGGAGUUCAUGAGGAGAUUAAUAGAGUUGUUGGCGAAAUUAAUCAACAGUUUGACCAAUCUGUGAGGGCUGCUCUGAUAGUGACACCCAUGUACUUUGUGAUGAGAUAUGGUUUUCUUGAAAUGGACAGGGUAAUGAGAUUGAAUUACCAUAAGGCCUCAAGGAAAAGCCAAAGACUGACAGUAUACAUAUUUGAUCCAGGAGGAAAUUGAAGCCGUCUCCAAGGUGUUUUGACUGGUAUUCCAAAGCUUCAACAAUUGUCACUGUAUUUGUGUAUUUGUCAAGGGAAAUGACCUAUGCACCUAAGGAAAAAGAAAGUCCAGUGGCUCAAUCAUUAUCCAACAUACUUGAAGACACAAAGUGGAGAAGUGCAAGAUUAACCAUGAGGACAUGGUUUAUUUUCAAGGAGGGAGAUAUGUCAGGAAUGGCCUAUCUUAGUUGCAAUUAGUUGCAGUACUUGCUAAUAGUAGUAGUCAGGAUUAGUACUUAGCACAGUAGUACAUUUUAGUAAGGGUAGUUGUGUCAUUUCAGUACUAGAAGUUAGUUAUAGUUGAGGUUUGCCUAUAAAUACUUGAUAAGCUUUGUAUUUCCAGUUAUGUUGAAUAUGAAUAUGAAAAUGGAACUUGUUCCACAAUUCUCUCUCUCUAGAAAUCUAUCUUGUUCUUCAAGUUUCUCUUCUCAUCUAACUCUGAUCUAUCUGAACUCUGUUUCUCACCUCCAUUUCUGCCUAUUUCUUCUCUAAAUCUCUAUUAUCAAGCUAUUAUCUUACUUAUAAACUCAGAAAACACCAAAUAUAGUAACAAAGCUAGGUCAGAACUCAUUAGUUCCUGACAUAUAAUCUGUUGGAUAAAAUGAAGCUAUCUUCACGCGCCCUGAUAUAGUAAUUGGAUCUACCACUGCCAGUAUAAUCGUAAUCUACUACUUCCAAAAUCUCAGUAUCAAUUAUUCGUUAACAUACACUAGUAGACAUGAAUUUAAAAUUUAAAUUGAUGCAAUAGAUAAUUGUAUUAC